rnacentral:tRNA from 1 species
AAAGAAAUAUUCUAAAAAAGCUUCUAACUUUUUAACAAGCAUAAAAAAUGUUUAU